ensembl:lncRNA
UUUGGGGCGGGGAAGCAGCUCAGGGCCUGACAUUCUGCUCUUGGGCGUCAUAGACGGAGACAGUUCGUUUUGGGAAGUCUCAGGGGCUGGCUAAGCUGAGUACUCUUGUGUCCAGGAGCAAUCUCCUCCAGAGAGCUGGCUGGAAACUGGGACUUCUGGACUUGAGAUCUCUCUGCCUCCUGCAAGGCAGCUCUGUAGGUGUAGGUCCCAGGAAACCUUUAACUGUGGGGAAGAAGACAUUGAACUUCAACAAAUCAGAAGCAUCUUACCGUAGAAAAGAAAGGAGUUUUAAUUUGACAGAGCUCGGGAGAUUUGAGCAUCUCCCCACCACCUAAGGUGGUCUGGCAGUGAAGAGAGGCUAGUCCCCCGCUCAGGAAAAGAAGGGAAGGACAUCUUUGCAGUUAUAAUCAUCUCCCAACAGCCUGCCGAGGACCAAGGCCUGGCCCAAGCAGCAAACCUGGAGCCAGAGGGAAUGGCCCCUGAGAACAGCAGACCCCCACCCCAGGUGAGUGUAUUCUGCCCACAGAUAUGGGCAACAUCAGCCCAAGAGGCCAUUUCCCCGGAUCUGGAGGAUGGUCAGUGAGGCUGGCCAUCUCUCUUAUCUGUGGAUCCUUUACAAAAAUGGGC